CUUUACUCAGUUCUCAAUGUUUGCUUUUCUUACACUGUGGACACUGUCGACUACCUGCUGCCUGAAUUUCUCUUGAUAAGAAACUAAUUUUCCUGGCUUUUCUUCCACAUCUUUGACCUCUGGUUUUGUGUUUUCUUCUCCUGGGUUCUUUCUCACACUCGAAACAAGUAGAUGUCUCACCAUCUUUUCAACCGUAUUUUGUUUCCUAAUCCUUUAUUUUCUCCCUUAUAGAUUUCACUCAUUCUCAUGAUUUUAGUCAUCACCUCUGUGUAUGAUCAAAAUUUCUACUUUUAGCCCUAACUUCUCUUUCUCUAGCUUCUGAUUUUCUAGUUAUAUGCUGAACAUUUUGGAUCAUUGUUUACUGAUAUCUGAAACUUUCAACACACCCAGAUAUGAACUAAUCUACUCACCUAGACCUUUUCCGCUGGAUGUCUCAGCUUCAGUCAAUGGCACCGAGACUAUCUUCUUGGCAAUGGUUCAGUGGGACAGCAGUUGCAUAAAGCCUAGGCACUGGAUUCUCAACGUGUAUGACUUCCAUGAAAAAUCAGAAAACUUGGAACUGCAUUUCCAAUAACUCCUACUACCAUCAGAGUCCUGGUUAAACUCCACCAAGGAAAGAUCCUUGCUCGAUAUUCAAAAGGAGAACGAGGCACCAUUGUUGCUCUUGUAAAGCAGUGGACAAAUGUAAAAGCUUUUGAACAUCCUGUUGAAAAUCAUCCAUUUUGGUGCUAUAGAUAGCCAGGGUCAUCAACAGAAGAUGGAUCAACAAAGAACUGGAUUCCUCCCAGUUCUUUCACUUCCUAUUUUCCCAGAAUACAGCAGUAGCUUUCCCUGAACACGUUCACAGUCCUUCCAACUGUGACACGGGCACUAAUUCUCUCUGUCAAAUACUCUUCUGCCUAAAAUUUCUAGAGUAAUUUCUGUCUUCGUAAAUAAGAGCUGAUACACUUGCAACUAAUAAU
rnacentral:lncRNA from 1 species